UGGGAUUAAAGGUGUACACCACCACGUCUG
rnacentral:piRNA from 1 species